rnacentral:lncRNA from 1 species
GGGGACGGCAGGAACCAAGAAAUUUAAGGAGGGGAGAGCCAACUCAGAGAAGUGGCCAGAAAAAUGCCUGCUGAGCUUCUCUAAGAAAGCCGGAGACUCGUGUGUGUCCAGCAGAUAGACAGACGUUCCCCAUACGGAUGAAAACAAAUUAUUUGUCAUUCUGAAAUGACUCUGAAAGGGGGAAUGGAAUGUGCCCCAACAAUCAAUAUUAAAUUUUAUGCCUGCUGCACCUUUCAAAAGCCUCAAGAAGACAUUGAUUCAAGCAGCAGCAAUCAUGGCAGCUUGGGGCACAGUCACAUGAGAUCCCUCGACACCCAGACACAAUCUCACAACACUCCUACAGCUGUCCAGUUCCUCAGCAUCGCCAAAUAGGUGAGUACAUCUCACAGGAAGAAUCGUGUCCUUGCUUAAUGCUUUUGGUAGAACUCAUCUCCCAUCACAAAGCAAAGAUC